rnacentral:lncRNA from 1 species
AGUAGAGUUCGGUGCAUAGGUACGUUGACGUGUCACUCCAUUUUUGAAAGGUUCAGGAGUCAGACGCCAGUAUCGGCCUCCGCAGUUUGGGGGAAAUUUCUGUUGUUUAAUGUGAUUUAAACGUGGUUUUAUGUCCCGCCAGAAAAGAAUCGAAUAAAAUAUACGUUUAACGACGUUAUAUAUCGGUA